rnacentral:rRNA from 1 species
GUGGGGAAUAUUGGACAAUGGGCGCAAGCCUGAUCCAGCCAUGCCGCGUGAGUGAUGAAGGCCUUAGGGUUGUAAAGCUCUUUCACCGAUGAAGAUAAUGACGGUAGUCGGAGAAGAAGCCCCGGCUAACUUCGUGCCAGCAGCCGCGGUAAUACGAAGGGGGCUAGCGUUGUUCGGAUUUACUGGGCGUAAAGCGCACGUAGGCGGUUUGUUAAGUCAGAGGUGAAAUCCCGGAGCUCAACUCCGGAACUGCCUUUGAUACUGGCAAGCUAGAGUCCGGAAGAGGUAAGUGGAACUCCUAGUGUAGAGGUGGAAUUCGUAGAUAUUAGGAAGAACACCAGUGGCGAAGGCGGCUUACUGGUCCGGAACUGACGCUCAUGCACGAAAGCGUGGGGAGCAAACAGGAUUAGAAACCCGGGUAGUCC